UAAAUCAUAGCCUGAGUGAUGAAUAAAUGGCUUGUUUUAAUGAGUUUUGAAAAUAAAGGAGAUAAGACAGAGGAGUAGAGAUUUGCAAAUAUGGUGCGUCCGAGUGGACUCGAACCACCGACCCCCACCA
rnacentral:antisense_RNA from 1 species